rnacentral:rRNA from 1 species
AGCAGCCGCGGUAAUUCCAGCUCCAAUAGCGUAUAUUAAAGUUGUUGCAGUUAAAAAGCUCGUAGUUGAAUUUCGGGAUCAAUACGUCGGUCAUGCUUUUUUGGUACGAACUGGCGUCAUUGGUUUCUCCUUUCUGACGAACCAUGAUGUCAUUAAUUUGGUGUUAUGGGGAGUUGGGACUGUUACUUUGAAAAAAUUAGAGUGUUUAAAGCAGGCAUAAGCUUGAAUACAUUAGCAUGGAAUAAUGAAAUAGGACGUUUGAUCCUAUUUUGUUGGUUUCUAGGAUCAACGUAAUGAUUAAUAGGGAUAGUUGGGGGCAUUAGUAUUCAAUUGUCAGAGGUGAAAUUCUUGGAUUUAUUGAAGACUAACUACUGCGAAAGCAUUUGCCAAGGAUGUUUUCAUUAAUCAAGAACGAAAGUUAGGGGAUCGAAGACGAUCAGAUACCGUCGUAGUCUUAACCAUAAACUAUGCCGACUAGGGAUCGGAUGAUGUUAAUUUUUAUGACUCAUUCGCGUCCUUA